AUCAACUAGGCAUCCCGAUUACCUUGCCCUCUUGGUUGUCUGAGGAAGAACUCAACUAUUAUGUGACCAAAUAUGAGAAUACAGGCUUCACAGGAGGAUUAAACUACUACAGAAAUCUUGACCUGUAUGUUGCCUUCAAAAUUAUUUUCACUGGUUAUCAUAAUGUUUUUUUUUUUAUGUCUGAAUCAUGCUGCCCAUAGUCAUUAUUCCUUUACUCCUUUCUGCAGAAGUUGGGAACUCACAGCACCCUGGACCGGGAGUCAAGUUGAAGUUCCGGCCAAGUUUAUUGUGGGUGACCUGGACCUUACUUAUAAUACCCCUGGCUUUAAUGAAUCUAUGACCUUCGAUGAGUUGAAGAAACAUGUGCCACUUUUGGAGGAGGUAGUUGUGAUGAAAGGAGUUGGCCAUUUUCUCCAGGA
rnacentral:lncRNA from 1 species